GUGUGUCCAGGUCUUUCAGCGGCAGCACCAUGAUGAUGUCUCUGACUCUACUGCUGGCCACCCUGGGGCUCCUUGUUCAGGGUUCAUCAGGUCAAAUAACUGUGACUCAGACUCCUGAAGCUUUGUCUGUUGCUGCACAACAGACUGUUACUAUUAAGUGUAAAACCAGUUCCACUGUUAGUAACUACCUUAACUGGUACCUUCAGAAACCUGGAGAAGCUCCUCGACUUCUUGUUAGAUACUCUACAACCCGUCAGUCUGGAGUCUCUGAUCGUUUCAGUGGAAGUGGAUCUGGGUCUGAUUACACUCUAACCAUUAACAGAGUUCAGGGUGAAGAUGCAGGAGAUUAUUACUGUCAGCAGAGUUACAGCCUCCCGUUCACAGAGUGAAACAACGUCGUACAAAAACCUCCUCAGCUGAAGAGGAACUGAUCUGAACCAACAUCUGCACAGACACUUAUAACACUUUAAAGUUUGACAGGUACUAAAGUUACAGUUCACUGGGUUUUCAAUAUUUUAUCUGUUAUUAUAUUGUUUUCUUAAUAAUUAUAAAAUAGUACAGUGUACAUUUGUUGAUGUAAAUAUAAAGUGAUGAACUAGGAGAACCCUCAGAUGUUGUAAUGUUCAUAGGAUUUGUUUCAUAGGACAUGAUGUUUUUGUUGUAGUCUUCCCAACCCUAGAUUUACUUAGAUCCAUCAGGGCUUCACUUUUUUACCUAUAGAACAGUUUCUUUAGCUAUAAAAAGUUAUUAUAGAACAUUCUUUUUUUGUUUUAUUAUCAUGUCAGACACUAAAACUACUUUUCCUGUAAUUUUAUUUUUAUUUUGAUGAAUGUGCGUUAUAAAAAAAGUUAAUCUUGAAAAUGAAAACCUGUAAUUAAUUUAUAAUGUCAAGAUGUGGUGAAGUGGACACAGAAUCAGUCAUCUGUCAUUCGGAAACAAUACAUGUUUAAACCAAACUAAAUAAAAUGAUGCACUGUGAUGAAUAAAAGAAUAAAAGGGGCUCCUCACCAUCAGGGUCGGCGCCACUCGACACACUGCAUAAAGAGACGCAGGAGGUUGUAGUGAAACUGAGCAUUUGAAUGAGACUGAUUUUAAUGUUUCAUUUCCUUCAGGGAUGUUGGUUCCUAUGGCAACAGUCAGACAUCACUACUGAACCAUGACAACAGACAGGUUUCAGCACUAAAGAUAUAAAGUG